CCGUUUUAUGCAAUAUUAAAAUAAGCCCAGUUUCUCAAUUUUACUAAUACCCCAAUUGUUAUUACAUCAUUAUUACAAGCCCAAUGAAUGAAAUAAAUUACAAAGUUACAACAUAAUUAUAGUGGGCCUAAGACAGGCCCAAAGCACACCUGGCCAGGCCAGGCCUUCACAUAGUUCACAACAGCAUAGAAGACAGUUUUCAUAGCCAAAACCCCGUAGCCAUAAAAAAUACAGUCAUGUACACAAGCCCAUUGGCUUAUUCAGCAAGUGAAAUGGGACAGAACUGAGCAAUUAGGACAAACAUGGCAAGUAAUCUUGGACCCUAGUGCGUCAGAGUUCCCAAGGGCUUCAAGAACCCAGGGCAGUGCUCAUACUAGGGAGGUUAACAGAGGAGAUUUCAGGAUAGACUGAGGACCAAGUCCUAGUGUGUCAGAGUUCACAAAAGUCUCAAUUGGACCCCGAACAAUGCUUACAUCAGGGAGGUCAGUAGCAAGAGCCUUGGCUUUCAGCCUGCUAAGAAUAAGAAGCUCAUAAUAACAUAAGUGAUAAUGAGGGAGACUAGACAACAGUUGAGGGAGAGAACUGAAAAGUACAAGUUGAGUACAUAGAGAAAAUAAUCAAACAAGCUUUAGUUUUUUUUUUAAAAAAAGACUUAGCAAAGAUUCAGAAGAACAAUUUCAACACCUAGUGCAUAAGUAAUCACACAUUAAUAAAACAAGUUUGCAGGAUUGGUAUACACAUAUUUGUCACACCUCUUUUCUACCCCUUGAAAGUGGUAUAAGAGAGUUUUUUCCAAUUUAAGUGACAAUUGAAAUGAGAUUAUUUUAUUUAAUUUUUUUCAGAGUCUCCACUUGGGAUAAUUUAUUUGGUGUCCCAAGUCACCAGUUCAAAUCCCGAAUCGAGGAAAAAUUGACUAUGUUUUAUAGUCCGCGAACGCAGAAAUCCGGAUAAGGAAUUCUGUUAAUUCGGGAGAAGGUGUUAGGUAUUCCCGGGUUCCGUGGUUCUAGCAUGGUCGCUCAACUGUUAUUAUUGGCUCAAUUAUCUGAUUUUAUACAUUUUUAAAACCUACGUGCAUUUUUAACUUUCUAGCCGCUUUUUAAUAUUUCAGGAAAUUUCAAAGUUAUUUAAAACACAUCGUAAACCACGCUACAUGAAAUGCACCCGCGGUUCACGACACACUUUAUUUAACCUUUUUAGAAAAUUUAAAUCGGGCCACAUGAAAUGUACCCCCGGAUUUUAGAAAUCAAACAUCACAACUACGUCACGGGAACCGCACCCGUAGCUAUGACAAUUUAUUUAAUUAACGCGCCUAAAGCAAACUACGAAAGUUCAGGGUAUUUUCUACACGAGUUAAGAUAAUUAAUAUGAGCGCCACAGAUUAUGUGAUUCAAUUGUAUGAAUGGCACGCCUCAGUUUUAUUAAAGGGAAAAUUGUUCCUAACGAUCUAAGUACGCCGUAGGCAUGAAUCAAUAACUCAAAGAAUUAUAUUUCAAAUUGAAGUAUGAUUGAAAUUAUCCUCCCGCUGACAUGAAAACUUAUUUAUUUAUACCCUUUUUUUAAUUCCCAAUCCCACCCAAAAUUCCAAGGACUCAAACUUGUAUUUUAGUUCAAAAAAAACCAUGCUACUACUAAAUAACUCAUUCAUAUACUUAUGUAUCUACUUAAAAUGAACGAAAAUCCUACUGUAUUAACUUAAACUAUUUAGUGUGCUCAAAAAUAUCAAAUCAACAAGAAGAUAAGAUAGCCCCUCAGGCGUGGACAAAAUAUGUUCAAGCAUUAAGAGCAACUUAAAUCUAACAUGGAGUCAUCAUUCACAAAAGCAUAGAAGAAACAAAGAUGAAGGGUAGACCUCAAAUGAAGGAUCUGACUUUUAUUAUUUUGAAACUCAAUGAGCAGAACUGCGACUAAAACAUGGAAAACUCACCGGAAAACCUCGUAACUCUAUGCAUUCCUUGGAUCGACUUCGACGUAUUUUGGACAUGAAAUUAGUGACUGUUUGGAACCGUAUUGGGAGUGAAAUGGUGAGCUACAACUGCUGAAUUUGCUAGCUUGCUGUUGCGUUAUUCCUUGAAGAAUGAGUUGUAAUGCUAGAGUUCUAAGGUCCAGAUUUAUGGAGAAAAUAACAACUGAUUUUAGAGCUUCGCCGUGAGGUGUUGUGUUGCCGCUGUACGUAUGUGGUCGCCGACGUUAUUGGGUUGGGCGACUGGUUUUCAGUAAGUUCUGGUGGGGCGCGUCAAUGGCUGACUUCUCUCUGGUUCGUGUUUAACGGUUGUCAUCCCUUUUCCGGUGAGCUCGAAGGUUGAGGAACGAAGGGUCUGCUGGUGUGUCUCCUAGGUAACGAAGAUGAAGAAACUAAGGGUGUGGAGAAGAUAGAGUUAGGGGGGAGGGUCGUUAUGUAUAUUGCGGCUGUAACUCUUAGAGAUCUGAUGGUGUAUGAAGGAGAUGAAGACUGCGCAACGGCUGCUUUUUCAUUGUCUUAGGUUUUUAGGUCUUAUGUAUUUUCAGCUCUUUUUAGGUCUAGCUCCUUAGGCGUGUUUUUAGCUGAUUAUAG
rnacentral:lncRNA from 1 species